ACAAAAGCGCAUGUGCUGUGAGCUCGAUGAGUAGGGCGGGACACGUGGUAUCCUGUCUGAAUAUGGGGGGACCAUCCUCCAAGGCUAAAUACUCCUGACUGACCGAUAGUGAACCAGUACCGUGAGGGAAAGGCGAAAAGAACCCCGGCGAGGGGAGUGAAAAAGAACCUGAAACCGUGUACGUACAAGCAGUGGGAGCACCCUUUGGGGUGUGACUGCGUACCUUUUGUAUAAUGGGUCAGCGACUUAUAUUCUGUAGCAAGGUUAACCGAAUAGGGGAGCCGUAGGGAAACCGAGUCUUAACCGGGCGUUAAGUUGCAGGGUAUAGACCCGAAACCCGGUGAUCUAGCCAUGGGCAGGUUGAAGGUUGGGUAACACUAACUGGAGGACCGAACCGACUAAUGUUGAAAAAUUAGCGGAUGACCUGUGGCUGGGGGUGAAAGGCCAAUCAAACCGGGAGAUAGCUGGUUCUCCCCGAAAGCUAUUUAGGUAGCGCCUCGUGAAUUCAUCUCCGGGGGUAGAGCACUGUUUCGGCUAGGGGGCCAUCCCGGCUUACCAACCCGAUGCAAACUGCGAAUACCGGAGAAUGUUAUCACGGGAGACACACGGCGGGUGCUAACGUCCGUCGUGAAGAGGGAAACAACCCAGACCGCCAGCUAAGGUCCCAAAGUCAUGGUUAAGUGGGAAACGAUGUGGGAAGGCCCAGACAGCCAGGAUGUUGGCUUAGAAGCAGCCAUCAUUUAAAGAAAGCGUAAUAGCUCACUGGUCGAGUCGGCCUGCGCGGAAGAUGUAACGGGGCUAAACCAU
rnacentral:rRNA from 1 species